rnacentral:rRNA from 1 species
UACGUAGGGUGCAAGCGUUAUCCGGAAUUAUUGGGCGUAAAGAGCUCGUAGGCGGUCUGUCGCGUCUGCUGUGAAAACCGGAGGCUCAACCUCCGGCCUGCAGUGGGUACGGGCAGACUAGAGUGCGGUAGGGGAGAUUGGAAUUCCUGGUGUAGCGGUGAAAUGCUUAGAUAUGAUAUAGAACACCAAUUGCGAAGGCAGGUCACUAAACCAUAACUGACGCUGAGGCUCGAAAGCGUGGGGAUCAAACAGG